UCAUCCCGCAAGGGCUGACUGAGUGGCGAACGGGUGAGUAACGCGUGGGUGACCUACCUUCGAAUGGGGGAUAACGUCCCGAAAGGGACGCUAAUACCGCAUAACAUCCUGCCUUUGGACAGGUGGAGAUCAGAGCUGGGGAUCGCAAGACCUGGCGUUUGAAGAGGGGCCCGCGUCUGAUUAGCUAGUUGGUGGGGUAACGGCUCACCAAGGCUUCGAUCAGUAUCCGGCCUGAGAGGGCGGACGGACACACUGGGACUGAGACACGGCCCAGACUCC
rnacentral:rRNA from 1 species